rnacentral:rRNA from 1 species
GACGAACGCUGGCGGCGUGCCUAAUACAUGCAAGUCGAGCGAAUAGACGAGGAACUUGCUCGUCUGACGAUAGCGGGGGACAAGAGAGAAACAAGCGGAGGACGUAUCUAUAAGACGGGGGUAACUUCGGGAAAAGGGCGCGAAUACCGGAGAACAUGUUUAACCAUAUGGUUUAACAACAAAAGACGGUCAUCAUGUGACUAAUAGAUGGAUCCGCGCCGCAUUAGCUAGUUGGUAAGGUAACGGCUUACCAAGGCAACGAUGCGUAGCCGACCUGAGAGGGUGAUCGGCCACACUGGAACUGAGACACGGUCCAGACUCCUACGGGAGGCAGCAGUAGGGAAUCUUCCGCAAUGGGCGAAAGCCUGACGGAGCAACGCCGCGUGAGUGAAGAAGGUCUUCGGAUCGUAAAACUCUGUUAUUAGUGAAGAACAAAUGUGUAAGUAACUAUGCACGUCUUGACGGUACCUAAUCAGAAAGCCACGGCUAACUACGUG